rnacentral:rRNA from 1 species
UACGUAGGGUGCAAGCGUUGUCCGGAAUUAUUGGGCGUAAAGAGCUCGUAGGCGGUCUGUCGCGUCGGCUGUGAAAACCCGGGGCUCAACCUCGAGCUGUCGGUGGAAACCGUAGGGCUAGAGUCCGGAAGAGGAGAGUGGAAUUCCUGGUGUAGCGGUGAAAUGCGCAGAUAUCAGGAAGAACACCCGUGGCGAAGGCGGCUCUCUGGGACGGUACUGACGCUGAGACGCGAAAGCGUGGGGAGCGAACAGG